CGGACGGGUGAGUAACGCGUGGGCAACCUGCCUGCCACAGCCGGAUAAUCGGGAGAAAUUCCGUCUAAUACGGCAUAAUGCAUCGACGGGACAUCCUGUUGGUGCCAAAGGUUGAUUCCGGUGGCGGAUGGGCAUGCGUCGCAUUAGUUAGUUGGCGGUGUAACGGACCACCAAGACGACGAUGCGUAGGGGUUCUGAGAGGAAGGUCCCCCACACUGGUACUGAGACACGGACCAGACUCCUACGGGAGGCAGCAG
rnacentral:rRNA from 1 species